UACGAAGGGUGCAGGCGUUACUCAGAUUCACUGGGCGUAAAGGGUGCGUAGGUGGCUUGGUAAGUUUGAUGUGAAAUCUCCGGGCUUAACCCGGAAAUGGCAUUGAAUACUACUUUAGCUGGAGGUUUGGAGGGGGGACUGGAAUUCUCGGUGUAGCAGUGAAAUGCGUAGAUAUCGAGAGGAACACCAGUGGCGAAGGCGAGUCCCUGGACAACACCUGACACUGAGGCACGAAAGCUAGGGGAGCAAACAGG
rnacentral:rRNA from 1 species